AACGCACAUUGCGCCCUUUGGUAUUCCGAAGGGCAUGCCUGUUCGAGCGUCAUUAUCAACCAUCAAGCUUGGCUUGUUAUUGGACUUUAUUGUUAAAGAUAGGUCUUAAAGUUAAUGACAGAGUUAUUAAACUCUUGAUGCAACGAGCUUUUUAAGCAAGCAUUAUAGUGAUCAAUAAUUCUUGUCUAAAUAUUUACAAGGUUGACCUCGAAUCAGGUAGGGAUACCCGCUGAACUUAA
rnacentral:misc_RNA from 1 species